GAAUCUUCCGCAAUGGACGAAAGUCUGACGGAGCAACGCCGCGUGAGUGAAGAAGGUUUUCGGAUCGUAAAACUCUGUUGUCGGAGCAGAACAAGUAGGAGAGUAACUGUUCCUACCUUGACGGUACCCGACCGCAAAACCACGGCUACGUACGGUCCACCCGCCGCGGUAAUACGUAGGUGGCAAGCGUUGUCCGGAUUUAUUGGGCGUAAAGCGAGCUCAGGUGGUUUCUUAAGUCUGAUGUGAAAGCCCACGGCUAAACCGUGGAAGGUCAUUGGAAACUGGGGAACUUGAAUGCAGAAGAGGAGAGUGGAAUUCCAUGUGUAGCGGUGAAAUGCGUAGAUAUAUGGGGGAACACCAGUGGCGAAGGCGACUCUCUGGUCUGUUAUUGACACUGAGGCUCGAAAGCGUGGGGAGCAAACA
rnacentral:rRNA from 1 species